rnacentral:misc_RNA from 1 species
GUAGGUGAACCUGCGGAAGGAUCAUUAGUGAAUAUUAGGGUGCUCUGUGGCUUUAACACGCUCAGAGGCCUGACCUCCACUUUCCACACUGUGCACCUUUCGGCGGAAUGGAAUCUUGAGCUUUGCUCUCGAGGAUGUUUUGCGGCUUCAUCAUAAAACACUAGUUUAAGAAUGUAAAAAAACCAUAACAAAAAAAACUUUCAACAACGGAUCUCUUGGCUCUC